rnacentral:rRNA from 1 species
CCUACGGGGCGCAGCAGUGAGGAAUAUUGGUCAAUGGCCGGAAGGCUGAACCAGCCAUGCCGCGUGAAGGUCAGUGCCCUAUGGGCGUUAAACUUCUUUUGUGCGGGAGCAAUAAUGGUCACGUGUGGCCAGACGAGAGUACCGUACGAAUAAGCAUCGGCUAACUCCGUGCCAGCAGCCGCGGUAAUACGGGGGAUGCAAGCGUUAUCCGGAUUUAUUGGGUUUAAAGGGUGCGUAGGCUGUGAGGUAAGUCAGCGGUGAAAUGCCCCCACUCAACGGGGUGAAGUGCCAUUGAUACUGCCGUGCUGGAAUGCGGAUGCCGUGGGAGGAAUGUGUGGUGUAGCGGUGAAAUGCAUAGAUAUCACACAGAACACCGAUUGCGAAGGCAUCUCACGAAGCCGCGAUUGACGCUGAUGCACGAAAGCGUGGGUAUCAAACAGGAUUAGAUACCCGAGUAGUC